UAUUAUUGUAAUUAUCUACAUGUUUUGUAUAGAAGAUACAAAUGAAUUGUGGUUCUAUUGUUUAUAUAAACUAAAAACUGUUUGCAGAACUAAAAUGAAAUUUCACAGAUUUUAUCAUCCAGUGGCAGAAAUUCCUAACCAAGUAUUUUUGGACGAUGUGAAAGAACUGAUGAAUUCUCAAGGAGACAUAAUUGUGCACUGUUCAGAUGGUGUAUGCCUUCUGUCUGGAAGUUUACUAUCAGCCUCCAGUAAAUAUAUGAAGAACAUCAUCUCAGAGACACAGUUUAAAUCCACAGGGAACUAUAUAGUGUUGGACUCCAGUAUACAGAUCUCGUUACCUGAUGCAACACAACUAGAGGUUUGUUUACUAAAUGCUCUGCUGUUGUAUGGUGAGGUUGAAGGGAGUAAGGAGAACGCCAAGAGUAUAAAGAUGAUCCUGAAACUCCUUCAGAUUGAUAUAUUCAACUCAGAUGACCUAAUUGUUACAACUCGGAGCUUAAACACGAGUUUAAACACUAGUCAGGUCUACCAGGAUAACAUUCAAAUUAAGGAAGAAAUAAAUCUUGAUGUAACGAAUGAUGAAGUUUGUUGGCCGGGUCCUGGAUCCAGCUCCGGGUCCAGUCCUGGGCCCGGAUCCAACUUAAUUUUUACACCCAGAGAUCUACACCUUGACAGCGGUCUGUCAUCCUACUCUGAUAGUGCAACCUCUGUAAUUCUUCCCUCUACAGAGAGUUCUAUGGCAGAGUUAUUGCUGGAGAAUGCCUCUCCGCCAAGCAGAGGUUCCGAUAAUACACUUUGCAAAACAUAUGCACAACAUUCAAAACACUACUCAUCAGAAAAGAUUUUCAAACCUGUCCAAAGUUUAAUUAGUCCGGAAAAAGAGAUCUAUGGGAAAAAUGAUAAACCUCUUUCUAUAAAAAAGCGGGGCCGACCGUUUAAGAAAAAGCCUAAAUCGGAGGAACUGUUAAAGAAAAAACUGCUUACAAACAUAUCCAAGUGUGUGGUUCAGCUGGAAAGGGUUGGGGUUGAUACCAACGAAAGUCUAAUCAUCCCAACCCCGCCUCCGAAAUCUCCUCCCAAGAAAGAGGUUUGGAAGACUGGUCUUCCGACCUUGAAUCCAAACUACUCGGAUAACUCCGACCUGGAUGAUCCUGUAGAUUGGAACCCGGAAGCUGAUCAAAUUGUUGAAACUAGAUUUAAAAACUUGUAUAGUUUGACGGAUACUCAGUGCACCGUCUGUAGACAUCAGCUUGAAACAAACAAAUGUUUAGAGGAGCAUUUUGAAAACCACUCUAACCCUGAGAAGUUCUAUUGUUCAACCUGCCACAAGUUUUUGAGCUUACUUCUUCUGGAUUUUCACGUGUCACGGAACCACAAGGUUAUUGAACCAAUAUCCGGGGACUUAUCUCACCCUAGCUCCGGGAGAACUGAAGAAGAGAGGGUAGCUGGGGACUGGCGAAAAUCCUUCAACUGUGACGAGUGUAGGGUUGGAUAUCAGACAGUUGGAGAUUUCAUGUUUCAUAUAAAAAAACACAAAUCAAAGAUGGAAAGCUGGGUUUCAAAGAUUUAUUCAUGCAAUCACUGCAGUCAACACUUCGGUUGUCCAGCGAACAAGAAGAUCCAUCAGCUAACUAACUGUGAGAAGAGUAUAACCCCAGAGCAGAAGGAGAAGAUGAAGAAGAACGACGAGUUCAAAUACAACUUGGCAAACUUCUACAUGAACAGGGUUAGGAAACGGAGCUUGUCCUCCUCCGGGUCUGGAGCAACUUAUGACAACAAGAAACUGAAAACUAAACUAAAUAUUGGAGUAAAAAAGUUGAGUUCCUUGCAAACAUCACCGAUACAAAUCAGCAAUGUUUACAGCACAAGUUCAAGGACAAAUCCUGACUCUAAACCUGAACCUGACAACUGGGCGGAAAAACAACUAAUUUGCAUUUCAAAAGAAGUGACUAUUUCAAGAAUUUCUUCAAAAAAAUCCUCUCCCGAUGAAAAUCUUUCGUUAGUAAGCCCUACAUCAUCUAAAACCUCUGUAUCAGAAAGUUGUAAAACCUUUCUAUCAGAAAGUUCUAAAAUUAAGUACAAUCUACCAGAUAAUCACAAACUGAUGCUACCAGUUGUCCAGCUGGAGAAACUAACUCAGAAGCAAAUAGACCAAAUUCAAGGCGCUGUCAAGCAAAGGUAUAAAUGUGGAUUUUGUGAUAAAAGAUUCACAUAUAAGAAAUCCUAUGUCGUACACUGUAGUAAGUGUUCAUCCCAUACAGACUAUAGAUUUUCCUGUGAUCUGUGUGGUGCCACUUUUAAGAGCUCUGAAUGUAUAAAGGAUCACUCUAAAACUCAUCCUAAGCAGAGUAUGUUCAAGUGUGAGGAGUGCGAAGUACGAAGAGAAACUAUCGAUGACAUUAGAUCACAUCUACUAGAGCAUUCAACCGGAGCAAUACAUCAAGCUAAAUUUAUAGAAGAGAAACCAAUACCACCAUUGGCUGAUACAAAUGAGACAAAUUUGAAGUCAAAGAGUCCCAUCAACAAAAAGACAAGAAAAACAAGAAUUAUUUGGAGUAAUGGAGUAGUCAUAUACCCUCGACAAAGAAGAUGGUGUGAACAAUGCCGGAAACUGUUCAGUUUCACUUCUACCAAUAAGUUGAGACACCACCAAGAGUAUGCAUGUGAAGCUCUCCCUUUCAAGUGCAAGACCUGUAAGAGGAGAAAGAAGACUGUCAUAGAUUUAGAAGAGCAUGUUUGCAACCCCAGUCACACUAAGAUAAAGAUUAUGGAGAAGAAAAUGGUUUCAAACAAAACGAAAAAGAAAAAAUUGGCCAAACAAAAUACUACUACUAGCGUUUCUUCUGAUCAACGCAACGAAGGUUCUGAACAAGGUGUUGCAGAAUCAGGGCUAGAAGGUUCUGAAGACAAAGAAAUACCACACAAGGACAAGGAACCACCGCUUGUAGCUAUUAAACCGCCAGUUGACGAAAUUACAUCUUUUAUUGUUGACGAAAAUUUAGAUGAGAAUAAUGAAUCGCUUUCGGAGGACCAUUUACUAUCGGCUAAAGAUAGAGUGCCCACAAGUUGUUCUGCUAAUGGAAAUGUUCUCAAAGCAAAUGAUGAUCUAAAAAUGGAUGCAGAUUUGAAUCGCACUUCAUCUUCAACCGCUAAACUGAAUGGGAUCACGAAAUCAAAUUAUGUUUAUAAGGGCGUCAGGAAGAACCAAGUACGAAAGUUUCAUUGUCAAGCAUGCCGGCUGAAAUUUACACACAAGUCGAAUUAUCUUUAUCAUUUGUCAACUCAUAACAUGAAGUCUUACUGCAGUAUUUGUACAAAACGUUUUAGCUACAACACUCUACUAGUCAGUCAUUUAAGCACACAUUCUUAAUUUCAUUCAAGCAUCCAACCUCAACUUACUGAUUUUUGGUUUGAACUGUAAUGACGAUUCAUCUCUAAACUUUGCUGAAAUAUCCAAACAAUUCUUUGUUUUAUAAAAAUUUAGCUUUCCUUACAUAAACUGUUUUAAUUACUUCUUGUGAUAUCCUGUUUCUGUAAUUAGUAAUGAAGUGGCACAUUUGACCAUGUUUUUAAUUGGUCAAUUAAUGUCCCAACAUUUCAG
rnacentral:misc_RNA from 1 species